rnacentral:rRNA from 1 species
AGAUGAACGCUGGCGGCAGGCCUAACACAUGCAAGUCGAGCGGUAGCACAGAGAGCUUGCUCUCGGGUGACGAGCGGCGGACGGGUGAGUAAUGUCUGGGAAACUGCCUGAUGGAGGGGGAUAACUACUGGAAACGGUAGCUAAUACCGCAUAACGUCGCAAGACCAAAGUGGGGGACCUUCGGGCCUCAUGCCAUCAGAUGUGCCCAGAUGGGAUUAGCUGGUAGGUGGGGUAACGGCUCACCUAGGCGACGAUCCCUAGCUGGUCUGAGAGGAUGACCAGCCACACUGGAACUGAGACACGGUCCAGACUCCUACGGGAGGCAGCAGUGGGGAAUAUUGCACAAUGGGCGCAAGCCUGAUGCAGCCAUGCCGCGUGUGUGAAGAAGGCCUUCGGGUUGUAAAGCACUUUCAGCGGGGAGGAAGGCGGUGAGGUUAAUAACCUCAUCGAUUGACGUUACCCGCAGAAGAAGCACCGGCUAACUCCGUGCCAGCAGCCGCGGUAAUACGGAGGGUGCAAGCGUUAAUCGGAAUUACUGGGCGUAAAGCGCACGCAGGCGGUCUGUCAAGUCGGAUGUGAAAUCCCCGGGCUCAACCUGGGAACUGCAUUCGAAACUGGCAGGCUAGAGUCUUGUAGAGGGGGGUAGAAUUCCAGGUGUAGCGGUGAAAUGCGUAGAGAUCUGGAGGAAUACCGGUGGCGAAGGCGGCCCCCUGGACAAAGACUGACGCUCAGGUGCGAAAGCGUGGGGAGCAAACAGGAUUAGAUACCCUGGUAGUCCACGCUGUAAACGAUGUCGAUUUGGAGGUUGUGCCCUUGAGGCGUGGCUUCCGGAGCUAACGCGUUAAAUCGACCGCCUGGGGAGUACGGCCGCAAGGUUAAAACUCAAAUGAAUUGACGGGGGCCCGCACAAGCGGUGGAGCAUGUGGUUUAAUUCGAUGCAACGCGAAGAACCUUACCUGGUCUUGACAUCCACAGAACUUUCCAGAGAUGGAUUGGUGCCUUCGGGAACUGUGAGACAGGUGCUGCAUGGCUGUCGUCAGCUCGUGUUGUGAAAUGUUGGGUUAAGUCCCGCAACGAGCGCAACCCUUAUCCUUUGUUGCCAGCGGUUAGGCCGGGAACUCAAAGGAGACUGCCAGUGAUAAACUGGAGGAAGGUGGGGAUGACGUCAAGUCAUCAUGGCCCUUACGACCAGGGCUACACACGUGCUACAAUGGCAUAUACAAAGAGAAGCGACCUCGCGAGAGCAAGCGGACCUCAUAAAGUAUGUCGUAGUCCGGAUUGGAGUCUGCAACUCGACUCCAUGAAGUCGGAAUCGCUAGUAAUCGUAGAUCAGAAUGCUACGGUGAAUACGUUCCCGGGCCUUGUACACACCGCCCGUCACACCAUGGGGAGUGGGUUGCAAAAGAAGUAGGUAGCUUAACCUUCGGGAGGGCGCUUACCACUUUGUGAUCAUGAUGGGU